UCUCUUAAAGUAAUAUUUAAUACAUUUUAAUUUCGACCUAAAACCAUGACUUCUCAGUCUAAGAGAA
rnacentral:tRNA from 1 species